GUGUUGGUGGCGGCUGUGGUGGCGGCUGUGGUGGCGGUCGGUGCUGGUGUGGCUGUUGUGGCGGUCGCUGACGGACAGUAAAAUCAACACACGGGCCGCACACUCGUGUAAAGGUGGGUUCCGCACUCCGUGCCUCGCCCUCAUCCUUCCCUCCUUCCACGGACGACACACAAGGUGCUCAGCUGAAGGCGACAGCGGGUAAAUGACGGGCAGGAAGUUGAGAAGGUCGUGUGACAUCGCGGUUGCCAUGACUACCUGGUGGAUGCUGGCGACGAUGCUGUGUGCGACUGUCGGCGUGACAAGAGCAGAUAAUCCUUGUAAAGCACCGCCUUGGGCUCUGCAAUGGAAUACAACACGUGGGGACAUGGCGACAGUCACGUGGUCAGUGGAACCUAACAUGACUUGCCACUCACGUCGGACCUGCUUCCCGAAAAUUCCCCUUGACGACCAAGAUAUGGAGCUGCAGUUGCUUCCUGUUGAAAUCCAAGAAGGAAAUUUCUUAAGUUUUCAAAGUGAGUUGUUCGGAGGGGGCUGGACCCUACCCACAGUGCCUCUGGAGGUGGAUGUCGAUGGCUUCCGGUCGUGUAACGUCACAGGAGGCGUUGCAGUGACGCACAUGGCCUCCAACCAGACCAUUGGAGUGGAUCCGGUCUUCCUCACGCCUGGCGUCCAUUACUUUAUUGUGGACGCUGCAGACGACCUGCUCGUAACGUGUGAGUCAGGACUACGUCUGAACGUGACCGUUAAGUCCGGCAACUGUCACGUCGCUGGUGACGUCAUGUGCUCCGACAGAGGACUUUGCCUUACACAACACGCGCAGAGCGACUACACCUGCUACUGCUGCGGCAAGUACCAAGGGAAAUACUGUGAGCAGUACACCACGUGCCCUUGUCAAAAUGGCGGCACUUGUCUGGAACAUUCCAAGUCUCAGGGCGGCUACUCCUGUGCCUGCCGACACGGUUUCCAGGGGCUGCUGUGCGAGGAGCGAGUGAAUAACAUGUGUGACGUCAUUUCCUGCAAUAACAGCGGCGUGUGCACAGGAAAUAGCACUCACUUCCACUGCGCAUGUCUGCCUGGCUUCACGGGCUCCCAUUGUGAGGUGGACGUCAACGACUGUGCGUCCUCACCCUGCGUCAACGGUCUGUGUGUGGAUGAGGUGGGCGGCUACACCUGUUACUGUCGGCCAGGUUUCCAUGGGCAACGGUGCGAGCUGGAUUACGACGAGUGCUCGACGAACCCCUGCGAGAACCAGGCCUUCUGCCAGGACCUGAGAGACAACUUCACCUGUCACUGUCAUCCGGGCUUCACGGGACGUCACUGCGCCAUCAAGGUGCAGGCGUGCGUCAGCCACCCGUGUCGAAAUGGCGCGCUGUGUGAAGAAGUGAGCAUCGCCUACAAGUGCAAGUGUGCACCGGGUUUCCAAGGUUCACACUGCGAGGUGAAUGUCGACGACUGCGAGGCGCGGCCAUGUUUGAACGGCGGGACAUGUGUGGACCGGGUGGGCGGGUACAGCUGCCUGUGUCACGAGAUGCACGCUGGCCCCAACUGCCAAUACCCGCUGGACAUGUUCGGCCCCAUGAUUGACAUCCGACGAGCAGACGACCACGAGGACGACGAGUUCCACGUGCGCAACAUGUACAUCGUCACGGCCAUCCUCACCUGCGCGGUGCUCAUAGUGCUGGGCGUGCUGGUCGCCUGCUACUGCCGCGUGCAAGCCACGAGACCUUUGACCUUACUGAAACGGCACGCUUACCGCCGACACCACGAUGACUCGUCACGACCCCUGGACAUCAGCUCCGUCGCUAGUCCUCGCCUGUCCGUUGAUGCCAUCUGGGAAGCCACCAGCCUCAACUAUGAUGUCACACAGCUCGGCUCCCCUCGCCACGUGGACUCCUUGAAGCCCAGGAGCGUGUGACAUCCUCUACAGUGUGUCAUCGCUGAGACAGGAAGAUGCUACAGUGUGUCAUCGCUGAGACUAAGAUGUUACAUUGUCAUCGCUCAAACAGUAAGAUGCUAUAGUGUGUCAUCUCGGAAACAGGAAGAUGCUACAAUGUGUCAUCGCUGAGACUAAGAUGUUACACUGUCAUCGCUGAGACAGUAAGAUGGUACAGGUGUCAUGACUGAGACUGUAAGAAGACACUACAGUGCGUGAUAUUGAUAGUGAUACAAUGCUCUGUGACUAAGGAAACAGCGUGAUACGUCACUGUGCGCAGUGACACCUACAUGUCACGUGUCAAGCCGGAAGUUGGUGACAUGAGAAGCAACAUGGUGUCACGAGGUGUGGCGACAGCUUUAAAGCAUCAGGCAGCGCUUUAACUGUGUGACGAUGUCGACUUUGUGUCAAGCUCAAAUUGUGGACAGGUGUCACUGUCACACUCUUUACUUGUCAGUGUGACGUGUUGUCCCGAGAUGUGACUGCCUUGCAAGUGAUGUCACCUGUAGUGUCACAUAGUGUGAGGCAGGCUUUUCAGAGUAUCGUUUUAAUUUUCCACCAAAGGAGUCUUUGUUCUGCUAAAAACAUUUCGACAGUCUGGAUCCUUGGGUGUUCGACAGAGAACGUGACAGGUACACGUGACGCUCACCUCACCUGACUGGUGUUGUAAGCGAGUUCACAAUCUUUGCACCUGCAGACCUUAAGCUUACAUUUACAUGUUUGUGGGGUAUGGCCUACGGUUUUGACACAGCGAGACAGUGAUCAACCAACACCCGCUUGGAGUUGCUUAAUAAUAAUAAAAAAAACUUGUUUUGGAAGUCUGACCCCGCAAUAUAGACAUCAGUUUUCUUCUCUUCCUUGAGGUCCCUUCAACAAUCAAAAUAAAUGUUUGUGAUCUUCAGUCCUUGAAGGACAGUAAUGGAGAAAUCCUGACUGGAGGACUGGUUCAUGUAUCGGUUCACCCAUGUCUUCUGUAGAGUGAACCAUGGUGAAGAUUUGUUUGUGUGUGUGUGUGAGUGGAACUGCGCGUAUUACAUCAUGCUUUGUUUAUUUCGACAGUAUUGCAACAAAGACAACUCGCAGACAGCACUGUAAGAAAAGCAAUUUGCAUACAGAACUGUAACAAAGUACACAUACACCACUGUAAGAAAGACAACAUGUAUACAGUAAAUCUGAUAUCUUUGUACCCAGAGUAUUUUACUGUCCUAGUCCCGCCAUCGACUGAUGCAUGAUGUAUGAUGUUCUGUAAACAUGCAUGUUACACCACAAAACAUUUUUUUCAUUUGUCUUUUCACCAUCCCUCACGUGUUUUUUGUUUUGGCAGAACUGUCAAAUAGUUUUUAAUAUCAAAUUUACUCCAGUUGUGUCCAGUGCUAGGGUCGCCUCUUUGUUCCUGUCUACCAGAAGUGACACAAACUGGACUCCACGUGGAAAUGACAUGAAAGCACAUCUAGGGAUUUUCUCCUGCCGAGACCCCCAAGUAAUAAGCAGAUGCUUCACCUACCAUUAUCAUUAACCUUUAUUACAGUUUAUACAUCUAUUACACCUACUGUAGUACCUUUAAUUGACGGCACAAUUGACUGGAUCACAUCAAAGUUUGCCAAGAGCCGAGCAGGGGCUGGGCACUAAAGAUCACAUGACCGUCCAACCGCUAAACGUGUGCAGGUAGGUGGAAGAGAGGGAUUGUAAUCAUCCAUCAACAAAGAAAUCGAUUUCUGAAACCCUGACAAUGCUACCGGAAAUAACACGUGACUUGCUCUAGGCGGGAUUAACUCUGCUGACAUUUAAUACAUGGCUCGUAAUAAUAAUUAAGGUGUCGGAGGCAAUUUUUUUUUAAAAUCUGUGCUUUUCAGUCCUUUUCAUGAAAAUCCUUCCCUAUCCUGGAUGUUGAAAAACCUUGCAACUCAAUACUCAAUAGUAAACACAUACAUAAAGAAAACAAUCUUAACAUCCUGUCUCUUUGCUUUAAACCUGUGUGUGUUUUUUUAAAAAUUGAUUUUUUUAGGAGUCG
rnacentral:misc_RNA from 1 species